AUUGAACGCUGGCGGCAGGCCUAACACAUGCAAGUCGAACGAGUGGCGGACGGGUGAGUAAUGCGUGGGACUCUAGCUGAUGGAGGGGGAUCACUACGGGAAACUGUAGCUGAUACCGCCUUCCAUCGGAUAUGUCCAAGUGGGAGUAACUAGUUAGGCAGGUAAAGGCUAACCAAGCUGACGAUCUCUAGCUGGUCUGAGAGGAUGACCAGCAACAGUGGGACGUAGACACGGUCCAGACUCCUACGGGAGGCAGCAGUGGGGAAUAUUGGACAAUGGGGGCAACCGGACGCAGCCAGGCCGCGUGCAUGAAGAAGGCCUUCGGGUUGUAAAGUUCUUUAGGUAGGGAGGCGUUAACAACAGAAGAAGCACCGGCUAACUCCGUGCCAGCAGCCGCGGUAAUUC
rnacentral:rRNA from 1 species